rnacentral:rRNA from 1 species
CUAUGGNGGGGUUCAAAUNUUCNANGAGNNGNAGGAGCUUGCCUCACCGGAAAAAGAGGAGAGGCGAACGGGUGAGUAACACGUGGGUAACCUGCCCAUCAGAAGGGGAUAACACUUGGAAACAGGUGCUAAUACCGUAUAACAAUCNAAACCGCAUGGUUUUGAUUUGAAAGGCGCUUUCGGGUGUCGCUGAUGGAUGGACCCGCGGUGCAUUAGCUAGUUGGUGAGGUAACGGCUCACCAAGGCCACGAUGCAUAGCCGACCUGAGAGGGUGAUCGGCCACAUUGGNGACUGAGACACGGCCCAAACUCCUACGGGAGGNAGCAGUAGGGAAUCUUCNGCAAUGGACGAAAGUCUGACCGAGCAACGCCGCGUGAGUGAAGAAGGUUUUCGGAUCGUAAAACUCUGUUGUUAGAGAAGAACAAGGAUGAGAGUAACUGUUCAUCCCUUGACGGUAUCUAACCAGAAAGCCACGGCUAACUACGUGCCAGCAGCCAA